rnacentral:siRNA from 1 species
AUGAAUGUGUGCUUGUUCUUCAUC